UCCGGAGGCCGGUGCGCCGAGGGCAGGCAGAGCCACGAGUUGCGUGGAGUCCCCGAGUGCAUUAGCGGGAGAGCCCCAGGCGUGGGACAGAGCGGUGGAGGGGCGCCUGGGAGCCCUGCGGGACACCAAGAGAGGCGAGGGUGGGGCUACUGCACAGCAAACAGGGAGGAACUACGGUGCGCUGGGUAGAAAGAGUAAGAGAGAGACGCACGCACUUUGCUGGUGAGGGGUCACAGGAAGAGCUUAAGAAAGGCUUAAAGAGGUAGCGGGUGUGAGCUAGCCUCCGGCUGGCGCGUUGGAAAGGGGAUGCAGGAAGGAGGCCAAGAGAGGGAGCCGGGUGUAGGAAGAAGCGAGAAGGAAUGCUUGCUCGGACAGAGCCUGCGGUGCCAAAUCGUGAAAACCGCGGGUUAAGGAGGGGCAUCAGGAAUGGCCUGGGGACCCCCGGAAAGUGGCGUAAGCGGUGCCGUUGGGCGCAGCAAAGAGAGAAGGGAGCACACGCUGAGACAGAGACAGUCCUGGGCGCUGGAGAGCAGGAGCCCCCUGCGCAGCAGGGAAGGAAACGUAGAGCCUCCGCGCUCAGAGAAAGGGACUUACUGAUGCCCACUAGGGUGGCGCACAUUGGGGCUCUAGAAAAGAGGGUUGAGAACCCCCGGGUGAGUGCCUAGGAAAGUCAGAGGAGUCAGCAAAGUCCACGGAAGAACUUCCCCCAGUUGGAGAGGAAACGCACCCUGGGAGCUGGAAGGGAGAGGAGAACCUGGCUGGGGGAAGCUUGAUCAGGCUCUGAGCACCACGAGGAGUGCAGAGGAGGUGCGGAUAAUUGCGGGAAGAGCUCUGAGAGCCCGAGAAAGAUGGGGAAACUGAAGCCCUAGAGGAAAAGAAGACUCAAUGUAUUACCAUCUGACGCACUUCCUGCUAGCUCUGUUCGUCUAUCUGCUGUUCUUCAUUGUUGAAUCAACUGUCCACAUUUUAAAAUUGGGAGAUGUCACAUAAACAUGGAAAAACUUUGGCCUUCAAAAAAUGGAAAGUUCUGGCCACUCGGGACCUGUGUUUCUACUGACAAGAAUAAUGAGCCAUAGACUGCUUUGCAUGAGGUAUGUGCUUCUUGAGUUGCCCCAAACACUAACACCCUUGGUUCCCACUCUCUGCUUUUCUUUCUAAUUCAUGCCAUCUGCCAUCUGAUGGUCUUUUAGCUUCUGAGCUGCAGUCUAAGUACUUUCAUUGAUUGGAUCAU